ensembl:piRNA 21ur-654 ncRNA
UAUUUCCAAUGUACCAUAAAA